rnacentral:lncRNA from 1 species
CCCUCGAAGCAUAUCUUCAGUUAUGUUGAAGUGCAAAGAUCCUACAUAGAGCCUCAUAGGGCCAGCACUGCCCUUCUGCAGAUUGUUUGCCAUUGCUGCUGCUCUGUUUUUCUCUGCCUGUGAUGCUUGUACUAUGAUUGGUACGCCCAAGACUCUCUGUCCAGUGAGUCCUAUUGCCAGAGGCACUGAACUAACAUCAACAAAUUCGACAUAAGCAAUUCCCUUUGAACGUCUGGAAUUUCUAUCAGAAAUCAUCCGCACAUCACGAACCUUCCCUACUGUAGAGAAAAAUUCUUCCAGAUCUCUUGGUCGAAUUCUUGCAGCUAGCUGCAUGCAGAAUACUGUUCGAGCAUCCCUCUCUUCAGGGGUAAGAUUAUCAAUAGGUUCUCUAACAGGGCUCUUGUCUUUUCUGAAGGGACUUUUGCUUCUGGAACGCCGCCUGCUUAAUUUGAUGCUGUGAGGCAGACCAAUCUUCCCUCUGAUGGCACUGUUGAAUUUGGGACCAGAAUAGGGACUCCUAUAGCGGCCUCUGAAUCUGCGAUCCCUGCUCCUGGAACGGCUGCGUCUGCGCUCCUUGCUUCUGCUCCGCUUCCUUUCCCGGCUUCUGCUCUUUUUUCUUUCCCGAUCUCGGCUCCGCUUACGCUCCUUGCUUCUGCUCCUCUUUCUGUCAUGGCUUCGACUUCGGCUCUUGCUCUUUUUUCUCUUCUUGCUGCGUUCUUCGUGGCCAUUGGCACUGCUCAAUUUGUUCUCAUCCUUCUUGUAAGGAGCUUCAAGCAUUGCUUCUAUAUCAAUAUCAUCAGCCAUUUUUUCAGGACACCUGCGCCGCGGGCAGCUGCUGUCCUCGUUCAGGUGUCCGAGGCCCGGCGGCGGCAGCGAUAGCUCCCGGCUCCGGCGCUGGCUGCGUUGACGGUGGGGGAUGGGCCCAAGGGCUCGGCAGCCCCCUCUGAGCGGUUAAAAGGCAGACGGACGGCGCAGCUCGGCCGGCCACAGGGCGGCAGGCGGCAAUGAACAGCACGAUCGUGACGAGCGGACCCCGGACCCGGGCUGGGCCCCGGUUCUGGCCGCGGCGGCUGCUCCCUGAAAUGGCGCCCGCCGCGUCUCGCUGCUCGCAGGCUCCGCUCACGACACGGGGGCGCCCAGUACCCGUCGCAGGGGCUCUCGCGAGACACAGAAGCUAGUCCCGGCCCCGCGCCCGCCACCUCUCGCGAGACAGUACGGCCGGAAACCACCACUCAAACGCUCGCGAGACUCUGUGAGGACUGUAAGACCACCGUCUUCACUCCUCUGUGCUCUCGCGAGAGUGCUCGCACCCGCCACGGGAGGUCAAAGGUGACCCGUAGGGAUUUAAACUCAGCGCCGCCAUUUUCUUGCUGUAGAUCCUUGAUAGAGCUGAAAGGAAUUGUUGUAGCCUUGUGUCCUUUCUUAGUGACUGGGCCUUGAGGUUGCUUGUAAUGCAUCUGCAGGAAGGGCCCCAUCCGAUCUUCUGUGGGGGUGUCUGUUGGGCUGCCUGUGACCACCCUUGAGCCUUGGUGGCCCAAACAGUCCCUACUCACUUGGUUGUCUUCACAGCGUUGUUUGUUUUCUUUUAGCUGCAUGUGCUCCCUGCUCUCCUGCACCCCGGGUGGCAGCUCAGAAGGGUAAAAAGUGUCUUCUUUGGUUAUUCAACAGCGUUCAUGCUGACGUGCUGGUGGCUAUGGGUGCAGAGCCUUUGCUCUUUUUUUACACUAUGGUCUGGAGCAUCUAUGUGAUUAUCCCUACGAUGUGUUCCUGGGAAGUUACAGCUCUGGUGUUAAGCUCCAUGUGCGAAAGGUCCUCUGGCAGUCCUUUGUCAUCUGGGGGCUUUUAGCUAAAGAAAUGGGAAAGCAUAACUUUGGAGAAAUGAAAAGGAACAAGCCAAGAUAAAGUAGACCCAGGAUAGGAGGAACAGGAGCAGGGAACCUGCAAAGCCAGCUCAGGCUGUUAGAGGACAGUUGUAGGCUGUACUGCUUUUGGUAGAUUUUUUCAGCCAUCCAAGAUAAGCUUCCAGAGAAGCUGUGAAGAGUGACUGAUGCAAAGCUUCAGUGGUACUGUACAGAAUCAACAGAAUGUGUAUGUGUUAUCAGCUGGGAAGAGUUUUCUUGGCAUAGUUGCAGGCGUACACAGGUGCCUUGUCCAGCUUCAGUGUAUUUUCCGUGGAAAGCCUUAUUAUUCUGUUUUUUGAGCAAGGCUUUUUAAGAGACUGAGAAGUGUUACUGUCCCAAACAUUUGGUAGAAGUGUAGGAGAUCACCACAGUAAUGAGUUAAGGAGCUGUUGGAGGAGGGAACCUUGCAAAGGCAAGGUGUUUGUCUAGACCCAUCUCCUUCCCAUCUCCUUAUCUUGUGAAUGCUAUGCAGGCCUGUUUAAUUACAGCAAGCAAACUUAGUGAGGCAAGAAGAGAUCUCGCAGACUACACUUGCACACAUUUUGGCAGGGUCAGAGUGAGACCCCCCUGAAACCCCUCCAACUCAGUUCCAGAAUAUUCUAAAUCUUGAAUUGCUCUUGCACAGGGGCAGGGUCAUACCUUGAUCACAAUGUUACAGGGGAGGUGAUGACUAUCUGAGACCCUAGACUCAUUUCUGAAAUGUUCUGAAGAAGGACUGAGCUUCUUGUUAGGGAGAGGAGGGCCAUAAGCACUGCUCAAGGAUCAACUCUGGCAUCACUGGAUCCAAGAGUGGUGACUGCAUCUUUGUCUCCCCCCACCCCUCCUUUCAAAUUAGGUUGUCUACCAGAAACAAUAUAUUCUCUGUAGGCCAUUAGGCAUCAGAAUCCAAAUAUCUGCCUGAUUUUGUUACAUCGAACAACUUCAUGUUUACUUGAGAUCCCAGUCCAUCCUUAUACUAAAAGUCCCAGUGUAAGCAACAUGUUUUGGUCACAGCAGCAAGUGAGAAUUGUGCUAAGGAUCUUACAUAAACCAGAGGAGGAGAGCUUGUGGAAAUAACUGUUGUGGCAAACACACAGCCUAUGUGAGCUGUGUCCAGCUUAGGAAAUCCCUGAGCUGUGUCUGUUGGAGCCUGAGAGCACAGGAGGAAGCCUUACCUUGUUAAUAAUGUUCUCUCUUGUCUUGGGUGAAAUUGAUGAUGGUUUGGGAUAAUGUUAAGCUUGUUUAUUGUAGGAGAGAGCAAACUAGGUUGUGUGUUGGGCAGGAAGUUGAAGCUAUCGGUGUUCCUUUGUGUCUGGAUCUUCUGAUGUAAUGACCGACAGUGUCUGUAUCUUCAUGGUGUCUUUUCCUUCCUUUGACUAAGGGCUCUGACAGGUUUCCUUAGGUUUAAGAGCAACAGCACCUGGUGGUGUCACUGCUGAACCCUUCUGCAGGAAGCUUUUCCUGGUUACGGGAUGCCCAUAUCUGGCAGCCUUUUGCCUGCCAUACACCCAGGUACAUCUAAGAUUG